AGGCAAAAGGGAUGUGAGCACAGAUGAAAUGAGGGCUGGUGGGGAAGGCAACAGCAUGAGGAAGAAGAGUGGAUGCCCCAAAAAUAUAGACCGGAAAUCAACCAUGGGAGCAUGAAGGCGAGCAGCUCUCCUCCACCUUGCCCUUCCGCCACACUGUCUUUGUUCUGUCCCGUGCCUAAAAAGCACUCACCGUCCGCCAGCCGACAAGGCAUGGGCGCAUCUGAAACUGGGGACCUCUCUUCCCCAACAAGGAAAACCCUUCCCCCUUAAAGGCAUUUUUCUUAGGAGUUUUUAACCACAGCCGCAAACUGACACAACCAAGUAGGGGACUACCGACGUUGUAUUUAAAGAGUUUCCGCUCUGGCGAUGGAACAAGGCUGAAUCCUUCUCAGCAUCCUGAUACAAGAGGGUCUCGCUGUGAAGCCUUGGUUGGACUGGAACUUGUUAUGUGGAUCAGGUCACCCUCAAAUUCACAGAGAUCUGCCUGCCUCUACCUCCCCAGUGUUGGGAUUAAAGGCAAUUACUACCCUAUCCCGCCAAUCCCAAACUUUUAAUAAAA